UACAGAGGGUGCAAGCGUUACUCGGAUUUACUGGGCGUAAAGCGCGCGUAGGCGGCUAAUUAAGUCAAAUGUGAAAUCCCCGAGCUUAACUUGGGAAUUGCAUUCGAUACUGGUUAGCUAGAGUGUGGGAGAGGAUGGUAGAAUUCCAGGUGUAGCGGUGAAAUGCGUAGAGAUCUGGAGGAAUACCGAUGGCGAAGGCAGCCAUCUGGCCUAACACUGACGCUGAGGUGCGAAAGCAUGGGGAGCAAACAGG
rnacentral:rRNA from 1 species